CAAGGCAUACGGCUCAGUAACGCGUAGUCAACCUAACCUAUGGACGGGAAUAACCUCGGGAAACUGAGAAUAAUGCCCGAUAGAACAUUAUGCCUGGAAUGGUUUAUGUUCCAAAUGAUUUAUCGCCGUAGGAUGGGACUGCGGCCCAUCAGUUUGUUGGCGAGGUAAUGGCCCACCAAGACUAUUACAGGUACGGGCUCUGAGAGGAGUAGCCCGGAGAUGGGUACUGAGACACGGACCCAGGCCCUAUGGGGCGCAGCAGGCGAGAAAACUUUGCAAUGUGCGAAAGCACGACAAGGUUAAUCCGAGUGGUUUCUGCUAAAGAAACCUUUUGUCAGUCCUAGAAACACUGAUGAAUAAGGGGUGGGCAAGUUCUGGUGUCAGCCGCCGCGGUAAAACCAGCACCUCAAGUGGUCAGGAUGAUUAUUGGGCCUAAAGCAUCCGUAGCCGGCUCUGUAAGUUUUCGGCUAAAUCUGUACGCUCAACGUACAGGCUGCCGGGAAUACUGCAGAGCUAGGGAGUGGGAGAGGUAGACGGUACUCGGUAGGAAGGGGUAAAAUCCUUUGAUCUAUUGAUGACCACCUGUGGCGAAGGCGGUCUACCAAAACACGUCCGACGGUGAGGGAUGAAAGCUGGGGGAGCAAACCGGAUUAGAUACCCGGGUAGUCCCAGCUG
rnacentral:rRNA from 1 species